GUGUUCUCUUCAGCAGCACAUAUACUAAAAUUGGGGUGAUAGAGAGAUUAGCAUGGCCCCUGCAUAGAGUAACAGAUUUGUGAAACAUUCCAUUUUCUU
ensembl:snRNA Gm22335 predicted gene, 22335